GGGUCAGUAGGUUGGUCGUGCCACCGGUACGUACUGGUCUCACUGAUUCCUCCUUCCUGAAGAACCGUAAUGCCAUUAAGUUGGUGUUGCGGGGAAACAGGACUGUUACUUUGAAAAAAUUAGAGUGUAUAAAGCAAGCUAACGCUUGAAUACAUUAGCAUGGAAUAAUGAAAUAGGACGAUCGAUCCUAUUUUGUUGGUUUCUAGGAUUGACGUA
rnacentral:rRNA from 1 species